rnacentral:rRNA from 1 species
GAGCGGCAGCGCGGGGGCAACCCUGGCGGCGAGCGGCGAACGGGUGAGUAAUACAUCGGAACGUGUCCUUUCGUGGGGGAUAACCAGUCGAAAGACUGGCUAAUACCGCAUGAGAUCGAAGGAUGAAAGCGAGGGACCGCAAGGCCUCGCGCGAUUGGAGCGGCCGAUGUCGGAUUAGCUAGUUGGCGGGGUAAUGGCCCACCAAGGCGACGAUCCGUAGCUGGUUUGAGAGAACGACCAGCCACACUGGGACUGAGACACGGCCCAGACUCCUACGGGAGGCAGCAGUGGGGAAUUUUGGACAAUGGGCGCAAGCCUGAUCCAGCCAUGCCGCGUGUGUGAAGAAGGCCUUCGGGUUGUAAAGCACUUUCGGCCGGAACGAAAUCGCCCGUGUUAACAGCGCGGGUGGAUGACGGUACCGGAAGAAGAAGCACCGGCUAACUACGUG